rnacentral:rRNA from 1 species
GGCUGCUAUACUGCAAGUCGAACGAACUCUGGUAUUGAUUGGUGCUUGCAUCAUGAUUUACAUUUGAGUGAGUGGCGAACUGGUGAGUAACACGUGGGAAACCUGCCCAGAAGCGGGGGAUAACACCUGGAAACAGAUGCUAAUACCGCAUAACAACUUGGACCGCAUGGUCCGAGUUUGAAAGAUGGCUUCGGCUAUCACUUUUGGAUGGUCCCGCGGCGUAUUAGCUAGAUGGUGAGGUAACGGCUCACCAUGGCAAUGAUACGUAGCCGACCUGAGAGGGUAAUCGGCCACAUUGGGACUGAGACACGGCCCAAACUCCUACGGGAGGCAGCAGUAGGGAAUCUUCCACAAUGGACGAAAGUCUGAUGGAGCAACGCCGCGUGAGUGAAGAAGGGUUUCGGCUCGUAAAACUCUGUUGUUAAAGAAGAACAUAUCUGAGAGUAACUGUUCAGGUAUUGACGGUAUUUAACCAGAAAGCCACGGCUAACUACGUGCCAGCAGCCGCGGUAAUACGUAGGUGGCAAGCGUUGUCCGGAUUUAUUGGGCGUAAAGCGAGCGCAGGCGGUUUUUUAAGUCUGAUGUGAAAGCCUUCGGCUCAACCGAAGAAGUGCAUCGGAAACUGGGAAACUUGAGUGCAGAAGAGGACAGUGGAACUCCAUGUGUAGCGGUGAAAUGCGUAGAUAUAUGGAAGAACACCAGUGGCGAAGGCGGCUGUCUGGUCUGUAACUGACGCUGAGGCUCGAAAGUAUGGGUAGCAAACAGGAUUAGAUACCCUGGUAGUCCAUACCGUAAACGAUGAAUGCUAAGUGUUGGAGGGUUUCCGCCCUUCAGUGCUGCAGCUAACGCAUUAAGCAUUCCGCCUGGGGAGUACGGCCGCAAGGCUGAAACUCAAAGGAAUUGACGGGGGCCCGCACAAGCGGUGGAGCAUGUGGUUUAAUUCGAAGCUACGCGAAGAACCCUUACCAGGUCUUGACAUACUAUGCAAAUCUAAGAGAUUAGACGUUCCCCUUUCGGGGACAUGGAUACAGUUGGUUGCAUGGCGUCGUCAGCUCGUGCUCGUGAGAUGUGGGAUAGGUCCGCAACGAGCGCAUCCUUUAUUUAUCAGCUUGCCUAGC